AGACAGGACCAGCCCUACGCCUACACGCUGGAGCUGAGUUAUUCCAUUAGGAUGCCCUGUGAUCUUUCGGGCAAAUGGGAUGAAGAGGAACUCGUAGAGUGGAAGGAGAACGGCCAUGAAGAGUAAAGGGAUGACAGGUAUCGAAGGAGAGGGAAUGUUCAGUGUGGCCAAGUGAGGUUCCAUGAAGUAUCCUUGGACUACUGAGAAUGUCUGCAGCUGUGCCAAGCAGCCUCCAUCUGGUUGGCCGGGAAUAGCUGCUUUGUCUAGGAACCUGAACUGGUUGGUGUGUGCAAGUUUCUCUACAGACGUAUCUCCCUCCUUAUCGUCAGCCUCAUACAGCUCGUCUGAGCUCUCGGGGAAUUUUAGGUAGGUGAUGAUGAAGUUAAACACACAGACCUGUGAUACCCUGACAAUGGGGCUGUUUGCCAGUGGUUGGAACAAGUAGAAAGGCUUCCCGAAUGCAAGCACGACGAAUCCAACGAACGCUGUCACCAAGCCCGUGAAAAAAGCCCAGUGCCAUCCUCUAUUCAACGCAAUCCACACGACUGCUGUCACUCCUAUCAGCGAUCCAACUGUCGUGCUGAACUGGUAAUAGUUGAAGAAGCUUGCGACACCCUUUGCUCCUCCGGUCUCGUUACGGUCAAACUGAUCCGCCCCGAGUGCAGCCACAGAACCCUUCACUCCGCCGCAGCCCAAAGCUAAGAUGCAUAGAGAAGCAUAGAACAUGGUGGCAUCACUGCCCCCUAUGCAGCUCGGCUUGUUGCAGGGGACGUACUCCGAUUUCUUGGAGUGUGCUUGGAUUGUUAUCAUCACGAGACCCUGUGAAAAGAAAAGAACCAACCACUGAGCACGAGUUUAUCAGAAGAAACGAUGUAAAACGAGAAGGGGGUUUACCGUAAUUUCGAGAAAUCCAAAAAUGAGGCAGGUGUGUAGCCGGCUCAAGUAGUUGUCGGAGAUGAAGCCUCCGAGAACAGUGAGCAAGAACGUCGAACCUAAGAAGUUGGUGAGUGUGUUGGCCGCCACCGACAGGUUGAAAAACAAGUGGAAGUAGAGAACCAUGGUCGACAUGUUCGCUACGAAUCCGAUGUUCUCCAACAUUGCCAAUACUGAAAGAGAAAAAUGGAAACAAUAAUCACAUUCUUGAUGUCGUGAACAUUUGAUUGUACGGUCGUUCAGAAUAGGACAUGAGAGCUUAUCCUAAAGACCAGUCUAUUAGGAAUAGAAGAUAAAAUCUACUUGUCUAUAAACUCAACAUCAGUUGUCUUACACCACCGAUGUGAGACAUUAGAGACUGUAACAACGUCAAGCAUAAGUUUUUGUGUUCGGGAUAUUUUGGAGUCGUAACUUACCAAAAACAAACAUGCAUGCCCUGAA